AAUUUUUUUUUCCGGGUUAAAUACCUGAAGUUUUAAAAACUUAAGAGUAUAAACAGCCAUUACUUACAAAUUGUAUUUCUUCUCUAAUAAUGAAAUUCAAUAAAUUUUUUAUAGUCUUUGGAUAUCAGCACAACAAAAAAUAGCAAUCUUGGAUAUAUAGAGCUAAUGACUGAAAAUGAAGCUGCUAAGUUAUUAAGUAGCAGGGAACAUCCAGCAUUGUUAAGUGAUGAGGAGGCAAGAGAAGUAGUAUUAUUUUUAUCUAGAUCUGAUGAAAGUCAUUAAGAUGUGGCUUAAGAAACAUUAAA